AUACGGAGGGUGCAAGCGUUAUUCGGAAUCACUGGGCGUAAAGGACGCGUAGGCGGGUUGGCAAGACAGAUGUGAAAUCCUACAGCUUAACUGUAGAACUGCAUUUGAAACUGCUAACCUAGAGUAUGGGAGGGGGAGAUGGAAUUAGUGGUGUAGGGGUAAAAUCCGUAGAUAUCACUAGGAAUACCGAAAGCGAAGGCGAUCUCCUGGAACAUAACUGACGCUAAGGCGUGAAAGCGUGGGCAGCAAACAGGAUUAGAAACCCUUGUAGUCC
rnacentral:rRNA from 1 species